rnacentral:rRNA from 1 species
ACUGCUCAGUAACACGUGGACAACCUACCCUGAGGUCGGGGAUAAACCCGGGAAACUGGGUAUAAUACCCGAUAGAUCUAGAUCGCUGGAAUGCUUUUAGGUCUAAAGUUCCGACGCCUCAGGAUGGGUCUGCGGCCUAUCAGGGUAGUAGUGGGUGUAAAGUACCUACUAGCCCACGACGGGUACGGGUUGUGAGAGCAAGAGCCCGGAGAUGGAUUCUGAGACACGAAUCCAGGCCCUACGGGGUGCAGCAGGCGCGAAACCUUUACAAUGCUGGCAACAGCGAUAAGGGGACCUCGAGUGCUACGAUACAAUCGUGGCUGUCUAGUUGCCUAAAAAGCAAUUGAUAGCAAGGGCCGGGCAAGACCGGUGCCAGCCGCCGCGGUAACACCGGCGGCUCGAGUGGUAACCGCUAUUAUUGGGUCUAAAGGGUCUGUAGCCGGCUUAAUUAGUCUCUUGAGAAAUCUGGCCGCUCAACGGUCAGGCGUUCAGGGGAUACUGCUAAAGCUCGAGACCGGGAGAGGUGAGAGGUACUUCAGGGGUAGGGGUGAAAUCUUGUAAUCCUUGAAGGACCACCAGUGGCGAAGGCGUCUCACCAGAACGGAUCUGACGGCAAGGGACGAAAGCUAGGGGCACGAACCGGAUUAGAUACCCGGGUAGUCCUAGCCGUAAACGAUACUCGCUAGGUGUCGGCCACGGUGCGACCGUGGUCGGUGCCGUAGGGAAGCCGUGAAGCGAGCCACCUGGGAAGUACGGCCGCAAGGCUGAAACUUAAAGGAAUUGGCGGGGGAGCAC